rnacentral:lncRNA from 1 species
UCAAAUAUAUAGUGAUUAUUCUGAAAUUCUUUUGGAGCCAAAAACCUAAAAAAAAUUAAGCGCCAAAAGACAGUUUCUUUCUCCACUUUUUGGCUUUCUGUACUUUCUUUGGUGGGCAAAUUUGAAGAAGUGAAGGAAGUUGUGCCUCGAAUUAACCCAUUCACCCUGAAACUUAGGAAGUGGAGAAGUGCUCGACCAACCUGAGUUUUGUAUAUUAUUAACAUUAAUAAUUAUUUUAAUAUAUUUCAAAAGGGUAUAAAUGUCCAUAACUAAGCAUCCAGAUAAAUCAAUUUCAAAAUGAGCUUAACUCGUACAUAGUGUCGAAACUCGAAAAUGAACUUUUGAAAUAAAAUAAAAAAUUAAAAGCCAUUUUUAGAGAAAAAAAAGAUCGCCUAAGAAUGAUAAUACUCUUGCUUGUCUAUUUGAGUGCACAUCAAUCUUUGUGUUGUUUAGCUAAAAUUUGCACCAAAAAUUAGCACAAUACUAAUUUGAAGUAUGAAAUAGAUCUGAUCGAAUUUACAAUAUCCAACACUAAGCUGUGAAUGAAACAAUACAAAAGUAUAGAUCAUAAUAGAUGAAGGAAGUGGAUAUCAUACUUGUAACAUUGAGCACAUCUGU